GAAGCCCAUGCCGAAACGGCAAAUCCAAUCCAAAAUCAUCUCGUGAAAACUUUCAAAUUACUCAUACAGCAAAUUCAAAUCCCGAUGUUUCAAAUAGGAUUAAUGUUUUUUUUCGCGAACGUGUAAAAAAAAUUAUAUGUCAAUAUAUUAAAAGAAAAGAGCGUUUGAUACGCACCGCAAUCCGUCAGACCGACUUAUGCCAAAAAAAUAAAGAAAAAAUGAGAAAAAAAACGAGAAAAAGAAAGAAACUACUACGGUGGCUAAACGCAACUUAAAAAAUAGGGAGGGACAGAGCCCCACUACCCUCUUAAGAAGACCCUAAAAUAGCAACACCAGCUAACAAUCAAAUGGCCCUCGUAGAUGAUUAAUCUGCAAACCGGCAAGAUUACUCCGGGGAUCCGGGCGAGCGCGUUCGAACGCGAAUUCGAGAGGGAAAUUGGGUGGGAAUAAUGAUGGAUUACCAGUACGCGUUUCUUCUCUUUUCUUCUUGUCUCCCAUUUGGUUUCGCG
rnacentral:lncRNA from 1 species